rnacentral:lncRNA from 1 species
CGGGCAGGGAAGCCACGCGCCGCCGCCAUCCCGGCUGGAGGGGUGCCCGCCCGCCGUGUGCCCCUCGGGGGUCGCUCAGGGCUGGCUUAAAGUACAGGAGAGUGUGUGAUCGCAGUUAAUAUCUUAAGGAUAAAGAUUACCAGAGGGUCAGAGAGAGAGAGAGCUUGUGAGGCUGCCCUGUGCCCUGGAUGAGAUCCUGUCCUUGGGCUCUGCUCUGCUCUGCUCUGUGGGAGGCUCCUGCCUGACCUUGGAGCAGGAGCCAUUUCCCAUCACAUCCCAGCCAACCUCUGGAAACACCUGGGGUGCAGAAGUGGACGUGAGCGUUUGCCUGGUGCUGCUGAGGUUCUGAGAGAGAAAGGACACUCAAAGCAUCACUUACUGAUUGAUCCCCACCUGAGAGAAGGCUCA